CAGUAGCCGCGGUAAUACGAAGGGUGCAAGCGUUACUCGGAAUUACUGGGCGUAAAGCGUGCGUAGGUGGUGGUUUAAGUCCGUUGUGAAAGCCCUGGGCUCAACCUGGGAAUUGAAGUGGAUACUGGGUCACUAGAGUGUGGUAGAGGAUAGUGGAAUUUCCGGUGUAGCAGUGAAAUGCGUAGAGAUCGGAAGGAACAUCUGUGGCGAAGGCGACUAUCUGGGCCAACACUGACACUGAGGCACGAAAGCGUGGGGAGCAAACAGGAUUAGAUACCCCUGUAGUCCCUGUCUCUUAUAC
rnacentral:rRNA from 1 species